GCCUCUGUGGCUUAGCGGUAUAGCAGCAGAUUUGUAAUCUAAAUGAACUAGUAUCCAGUUCUUUGUUAACGCAGGUCGUGGGUUCAAUUCCCACCGGAGGCU
rnacentral:tRNA from 1 species